rnacentral:rRNA from 1 species
GGGGGAUAUUGCGCAAUGGGGGCAACCCUGACGCAGCAACGCCGCGUGAAGGAUGAAGGUUUUCGGAUUGUAAACUUCUUUUAUUAAGGACGAAACUUGACGGUACUUAAUGAAUAAGCUCCGGCUAACUACGUGCCAGCAGCCGCGGUAAUACGUAGGGAGCAAGCGUUGUCCGGAUUUACUGGGUGUAAAGGGAGCGCAGGCGGUGCGGCAAGUCUGAUGUGAAAGCCCGGGGCUCAACCCCGGUACUGCAUUGGAAACUGUCGUACUAGAGUGUCGGAGGGGUAAGCGGAAUUCCUAGUGUAGCGGUGAAAUGCGUAGAUAUUAGGAGGAACACCAGUGGCGAAGGCGGCCUACUGGGCACCAACUGACGCUGAGGCUCGAAAGUGUGGGUAGCAAACAGGAUUAGAUACCCUGGUAGUCCACACCGUAAACGAUGAUUACUAGGUGUUGGAGGAUUGACCCCUUCAGUGCCGCAGUUAACACAAUAAGUAAUCCACCUGGGGAGUACGACCGCAAGGUUGAAACUCAAAGGAAUUGACGGGGGCCCGCACAAGCAGUGGAGUAUGUGGUUUAAUUCGACGCAACGCGAAGAACCUUACCAAGUCUUGACAUCCCUUGACGAUGCUGGAAACAGCAUUUCUCUUCGGAGCAAGGAGACAGGUGGUGCAUGGUUGUCGUCAGCUCGUGUCGUGAGAUGUUGGGUUAAGUCCCGCAACGAGCGCAACCCUUAUGGUCAGUUACUACGCAAGAGGACUCUGGCCAGACUGCCGUUGACAAAACGGAGGAAGGUGGGGAUGACGUCAAAUCAUCAUGCCCUUUAUGACUUGGGCUACACACGUACUACAAUGGCGUUAAACAAAGAGAAGCAAGACCGCGAGGUGGAGCAAAACUCAGAAACAACGUCCCAGUUCGGACUGCAGGCUGCAACUCGCCUGCACGAAGUCGGAAUUGCUAGUAAUCGUGGAUCAGCAUGCCACGGUGAAUACGUUCCCG